rnacentral:rRNA from 1 species
UGGGGAAUAUUGCACAAUGGGGGAAACCCUGAUGCAGCAACGCCGCGUGAGUGAUGACGGUCUUCGGAUUGUAAAACUCUGUCUUCAGGGACGAUAAUGACGGUACCUGAGGAGGAAGCCACGGCUAACUACGUGCCAGCAGCCGCGGUAAUACGUAGGUGGCAAGCGUUGUCCGGAUUUACUGGGCGUAAAGGGAGCGUAGGUGGAUAUUUAAGUGGGAUGUGAAAUACUCGGGCUUAACCUGAGUGCUGCAUUCCAAACUGGAUAUCUAGAGUGCAGGAGAGGAAAGUAGAAUUCCUAGUGUAGCGGUGAAAUGCGUAGAGAUUAGGAAGAAUACCAGUGGCGAAGGCGACUUUCUGGACUGUAACUGACACUGAGACUCGAAAGCGUGGGGAGCAAACAG